rnacentral:lncRNA from 1 species
GAUUUCACCUCUGUAAGUGGUCUUCGUGUGAUUCUAGAUGUCUUCCAGGGGUUCUUCUUCUAGCGGCUCUAGGAGUUCGUCUGUCUCGGUCUCCCAGAGUCCUCAGGCGGUAGAUGAACCGGUAGGUAGAGCUGAACCUCAUCUGAUUUUUGCAUUGGACGCCAUUCCUUGUUCUCUGACUCCGGACGAACUCCAACUGAUAAGAGUUCAGUAUGGGGUUCCUCCAGAGUACGAACUGGAACUUCCUGGCCC